rnacentral:rRNA from 1 species
CCUACGGGAGGCAGCAGUGAGGAAUAUUGGUCAAUGGGCGGAAGCCUGAACCAGCCAAGUAGCGUGCAGGAUGACGGCCCUACGGGUUGUAAACUGCUUUUAUACGGGAAUAACGCGCCUUACGUGUAGGGCUUUGCAUGUACCGUAUGAAUAAGGACCGGCUAAUUCCGUGCCAGCAGCCGCGGUAAUAGGGAAGGUCCGGGCGUUAUCCGGAUUUAUUGGGUUUAAAGGGAGCGUAGGCGGUCUGUUAAGUCAGCGGUCAAAGCCCGGGGCUCAACCCCGGCCCGCCGUUGAAACUGGGAGUCUCGAGUUGGAGAGAAGUAUGCGGAAUGCGCGGUGUAGCGGUGAAAUGCAUAGAUAUCGCGCAGAACUCCGAUUGCGAAGGCAGCAUGCCGGCUCCACACUGACACUGAUGCUCGAAAGUGUGGGUAUCAAACAGGAUUAGAUACCCCUGUAGUC